GGGUGGCGUGCAGUUACACUUCGACAAAGGAUCGUUUUUGAAAUCAUUGUACCUAGAGGAACAAAUUAUCCAGAUCACUGACAAGUCGGCCAUUUCCACUAUCCCUGGCAUUUGUUCCAAAACCCAAAGUGUUCCUGGUACCACAGGUUGUCCUGGUGUGAACAAUUUGUAAUCCAGUACCAUCCACUAAUAAAUAUGAAUAUAAAAUUAGCAAAACAACGGUCUUUUAUCAAGUAACUGAAUUAUUUUUGUUUUUUUAAAAUCUAGUUCACUUACUUCAUUGUUGUAGCUAAGUUGAAAGGAAGUAAAGACAAAACAAAAGUUAGUUAUAAAAA